GGCAAGAUGGCCGAGUUGGUUAUGGCGCCAGGUUAGGGCCCUGGUUCGGGAAACUGAGCGUGGGUUCAAGUACCACUCUUGUCA
rnacentral:tRNA from 1 species